rnacentral:rRNA from 1 species
UACAUAGGGGGCAAGCGUUGUCCGGAUUCAUUGGGCGUAAAGAGCGUGUAGGCGGCCAGGUAGGUCGGUUGUGAAAACUGGAGGCUCAACCUUCAGAGGUCGACCGAAACCAUCUGGCUAGAGUCCGGAAGAGGCGAGUGGAAUUCCCGGUGUAGCGGUGAAAUGCGCAGAUAUCGGGAGGAACACCAAUGGCGAAGGCAGCUCGCUGGGACGGUACUGACGCUGAGACGCGAAAGCGUGGGGAGCAAACAGG